rnacentral:rRNA from 1 species
AUACGUAGGGUGCGAGCGUUGUCCGGAAUUACUGGGCGUAAAGAGCUCGUAGGUGGUUUGUCGCGUCGUCUGUGAAAUUCCGGGGCUUAACUCCGGGCGUGCAGGCGAUACGGGCAUAACUUGAGUACUGUAGGGGAGACUGGAAUUCCUGGUGUAGCGGUGAAAUGCGCAGAUAUCAGGAGGAACACCGGUGGCGAAGGCGGGUCUCUGGGCAGUAACUGACGCUGAGGAGCGAAAGCAUGGGUAGUGAACAGGAUUAGAUACCCUGGUAGUCCAUGCCGUAAACGGUGGGCGCUAGGUGUAGGGGUCUUCCACGACUUCUGUGCCGUAGCUAACGCAUUAAGCGCCCCGCCUGGGGAGUACGGCCGCAAGGCUAAAACUCAAAUGAAUUGACGGGG